rnacentral:sRNA from 1 species
AAGUGGAAGAGCAUAGGAAAUUAACAUGGUUAACCAAGGUGCAUCAAGGUGAUGGAAAAUUAAUUCUCUACCCCAACAAGAAUGUCUAUCAAAUUCUCUUUCCUGAUGGGACAGGCCAGAUACAGUAUCCACAGAAACACAGGGAUGCUCAUAUUGACAUAUAUUGGCACCUAAAAUGUCUAUGAUUCAGGUUAUCCAUCAGGAAACCUGGCUAUGCUCAUCUUAUAUGCGAAAAUGAAAAAGUUCACAUACAUCAUUCUGGAAGACAGUCUAGAAGGGUGGAUCCGGGCCCUUAUCAACAACUCAGGCAAUGCUACCUUCUAUGAUGAAAAUAGUGAUAUCUGGUUGAACCUGAGCUCCAACCUGGGCUACUACUUCCCCAAAGACAAACGCCAGAAGGCCUGGAACUGGUGGAAUCUGAACAUCCAUGUCCACGCACCCCCUGUCCAGCCCAUCUCCUUGAAAAUCAAUGAGUACAUCCAGGUACAAAUAAGGAGCCAGGAUAAGAUCAUCUUCUGCUUCACCUAUGAACAGAAGCAGAUUUGUUUAAACCUGGGCACCAGGUACAAG